AUAGCAUAUAUUAAAGUUGUUGCAGUUAAAAAGCUCGUCGUUGGAUUUCUGGAGGGGUGCCGAAGUCCGCUCGAUAGCGUGUGCUGAGGCGCCUCUCCAUCCUUCUGUUAACGUUUCUUGGUAUUCAGUUACUGGUUUCGGGCUCAGAUAUUUUACCUUGAGAAAAUUAGAGUGUUCCAGGCAGGCUUGCGCCGGAAUACAUUAGCAUGGAAUAAUAGAAUAGGACUUUUGUCUCCUUUGUUGGUUUGAGGGACUGAAGUAAUGAUUAAUAGGGAUAGUUGGGGGCAUUAGUAUUUAAUUGUCAGAGGUGAAAUUCUCGGAUUUGUUAAAGACUAACUUAUG
rnacentral:rRNA from 1 species